rnacentral:lncRNA from 1 species
AGUUUUAAACCCUAAACUGAACUUUUUCCAUUCAGUCAGCAUUAGGGUUUUAAACCCUGAACUGAACUUUUCCAGCCAGUCAGCAUUAGGGUUUAAAACACUAAACUGAACUUUUUCCAUUCAGUCAGUAUUAGGGUUUUAAACCCUAAACUGAACUUUUCCUUUAGUCAGCAUUAGGGCCCCAACCCUAAACUGAACUUUUCCCCAGUUGGUCAGCAAUAGAGUUUCAACUCUAAACUGAACUU